rnacentral:rRNA from 1 species
AUUGAACACUGGCGGCAGGCCUAACACAUGCAAGUCGAACGAGUGGCGGACGGGUGAGUAAUGUCUGGGAAACUGCCUGAUGGAGGGGGAUAACUACUGGAAACGGUAGCUAAUACCGCAUACCAUCGGAUGUGCCCAGAGUGGCUUGGCUUGUUGGUGGGGUAACGGCUCACCAAGGCGACGAUCCCUAGCUGGUCUGAGAGGAUGACCGGCGACACGCGAACUGAGACACGGUCCAGACUCCUACGUGAGGCAGCAGUGGGGAAUAUUGGACAAUGGGCGCAAGCCGGAUGCAGCAAUGCCGCGUGUAUGAUGAAGGCUUUCGGGUUGUAAGGUACUAUCAGCGGGGAGGCGUUACCCGCAGAAGAAGCACCGGCUAACUCCGUGCCAGCAGCCGCGGUAAUAC